rnacentral:rRNA from 1 species
AUUGAACGCUGGCGGCAUGCUUUACACAUGCAAGUCGAACGGUAACAGGGAGCUCGCUCCGCUGACGAGUGGCGAACGGGUGAGUAAUGCGUCGGAACGUGCCGAGUAGUGGGGGAUAACGCAUCGAAAGGUGUGCUAAUACCGCAUACGUACUGAGGUAGAAAGUGGGGGACCUUCGGGCCUCACGCUAUUCGAGCGGCCGACGUCUGAUUAGCUAGUUGGUGAGGUAAAGGCUCACCAAGGCGACGAUCAGUAGCGGGUCUGAGAGGAUGAUCCGCCGAACUGGGACUGAGACACGGCCCAGACUCCUACGGGAGGCAGCAGUGGGGAAUUUUGGACAAUGGGCGCAAGCCUGAUCCAGCCAUGCCGCGUGUCUGAAGAAGGCCUUCGGGUUGUAAAGGACUUUUGUCCGGGAGCAAAUGCCUGGUGUUAAUAGCAUCGGGAGCUGAGAGUACCGGAAGAAUAAGCACCGGCUAACUACGUGCCAGCAGCCGCGGUAAAAC